AGAGUUUGAUCAUGGCUCAGAGUGAACGCUGGCGGCAGGCCUAACACAUGCAAGUCGAGCGGCAGCGCGUCCGACCACCCUCGGGUGGUCGGAUGGCGGCGAGCGGCGGACGGGUGAGGAAUGCAUCGGAAUCUGCCUCGUUGUGGGGGAUAACGUAGGGAAACUUACGCUAAUACCGCAUACGACCUACGGGUGAAAGUGGGGGACCUUCGGGCCUCACGCGAUGAGAUGAGCCGAUGCCGGAUUAGCUAGUUGGCGGGGUAAAGGCCCACCAAGGCGACGAUCCGUAGCUGGUCUGAGAGGAUGAUCAGCCACACUGGAACUGAGACACGGUCCAGACUCCUACGGGAGGCAGCAGUGGGGAAUAUUGGACAAUGGGGGCAACCCUGAUCCAGCCAUGCCGCGUGUGUGAAGAAGGCCUUCGGGUUGUAAAGCACUUUUGUUGGGGAAGAAACCGGCCGGGUUAAUACCCUGGUUGAAUGACGGUACCCAAAGAAUAAGCACCGGCUAACUUCGUGCCAGCAGCCGCGGUAAUACGAAGGGUGCAAGCGUUACUCGGAAUUACUGGGCGUAAAGCGUGCGUAGGCGGUUUGUUAAGUCUGCUGUGAAAGCCCUGGGCUCAACCUGGGAACUGCAGUGGAUACUGGCGAGCUAGAGUGUGUCAGAGGAU
rnacentral:rRNA from 1 species